GUUACGGUCACCUAUUGCGGUAGCCGGGAAGCCGUCCAGUGCCCCCUUCCUCCACUAGGGAUCGAAGCUGAGACCCCCGCGCUGACACCACCGGCCCGGCCGCGGGGUUUGUUAGGCGGUGGCGUUUGCUGCCUAGAAUGCCCCGGGAGGGCAACAGGCCACCGCUAGGAACCCAGUUCUGUGUGGUUUUCCAAAAGUGGGGCUGUUAUCCCCAUUGUAUAGAUGGGGAGACUGAGAAAAACCUAGGGAUUCUGUUACCUAAAUCCACCGAUUUCAGAACCAUGUGAGACAAGGGGCAUCUUAUCUUAACAGAUGGUCUUUAACUCUGCUUUGCUGCCUGAUUCUGCUUCUGGCCUGGUUCUUCUACCUCAAGUUGUGGCUGCCACUGAAUUUAAAAAUUGGAUAGUCUGCUUUCGAUGAUGGAAAGUGAAGUGCAUGUCUGUAAUCCAUGGAGGAAUGUCAUGAGAAAGGAGAACGAAGGAGAAGACAACAAACACUGAUUUUAUAGACAUGCAGAAUGUUUAAAAAUAUAGAGGUGGAUAAGUAUGGAGUUUUUGCUAUUAAACCUGUUGUUUAAACCAAAUCAUCAAGAUAUUCAUCAGCAAUCAACUUAAAUGGCCUCAAGACCCCAGAAGACUGUUUAGUAUUAUAGGUUAAUAUGGAUACCCUGCAAGCUAUGGGGACUUGGUUAGCUACUGGAAUAAGUCUUGGCAGAUUUUUAAUUGAGUGCCUGCAUGAUAAUUAAAGUUCAAUGGCCUGAUUUGAAGAUGUGCUGAGCAUCUGCAAUGUCAGCAGAUUCAGUAGGAAAUGCAAGUGCUCAGCAUUUUUGAAAAUCAGACCAUAAGUACUAAUUAAUUUUGUCUAGAGCAUGGAGUAAAUCUACUGUGAAUUGCUUCAACUAUGCAAUUACCACGGAGUAAAAUGUGAAGCCCGAUGGGUAGGGUUGAUGACAGGGUAUAAACUGAUUGCCCAGUAAGAUCGCAGAGAUGUUAUUGCCUGACAGUAGCAUUUCAUUACUUUGUAACGAUAUUUUAGGACUUUGCUUGUUUAAAUGAACAAUGUUUCCAUUGGUGCAAACUAGCUCCUUUCUGAGCUCUCUCUAUUUUAGCCCUUUAUUUCAGAGAACAGUGUGUUUUUGGAAAUCUGAGACACACCCAAAUAUAAGCAUUAACAUCAGUGAUAGAAACUCACUGCUGGUGAACAGCCAAUCUCCUUCAUAAUUUGGAGGCAGUCAAUUCAACAUACACUCCUGAUGGCAAUUCACCAGGAACUUCCUAUGCAAAGCAUCUUGUCAUGGCAAUGGCAAUGCUUGCACAGAUGUACAUCAACAGAGAGGGAUAGAGCUGGCAGAAAUGUCUUGAAUUUUCAAAACUUUGAAGAAAAAAGGUACACAUUUUUGAUAAAAUAAUUUUUUAAAAAUCACUUUUGAAUUGUCCUUAGAGAUGUAGCUUUGUACACUCAGACCUUCAUGCUCCCAUCACCUGAAAGCACAGAAUGAUCUGCACCUCACCGAGGCCAUAGAUGUUUAUGCUGCUAAUGUAUAUCUGCAGUGCCUACAGUGAAUUGAAAGGCGAUGUAGGAGCCCGGGAAAUAGAGCAUCCCUGGCACUGCCUUAUAGUGAUUCUUCAGAUCCUGACAGACUUGCACUGGCCUGCUGUUGUGCCAGGUCUCUUGUUCCAGGUCAAAAAUAAGACUUCUAGGCCAGGGCAUCUCUAUGCACAUGCUCUAUAUAGCUUAUACAAUAUGGGUGAUAAUAUGUGGGUCCUAGAAUGAUGACAUUCAAGGUCUAUUCUUUGUUUUCUGUGGGCCCUAGUCAUUUCUCCUCUUGCUGUGCAGUCAAUCUGUUGCAUACCAAAGAUGGUGACUUCAUACUGGUUGAUGAAGGUGGAGUUGCUGGUAUUCUACAUGGCCAAAAUAUUCAUCUGCCACGCAUACUGUGCAGUACCUUUGCUUGAGGUUUCCACUAUUCCCUUAAUUUGAGGUUCUUAAAAUUAAGCAGAAAGGACCAAAUCCUGCUCCUGACUCCUAAAAGGCCUACAGUUGGCCCUCGCUAUACUUGGAAUGGAUUCAACCACACUUUUUGAAUCACAAGUUAAUUGACAGAUUUUGUGUGCUGCGAAGAUCUUUUUGAUUCACCAUGUGGAUAUAUACAUUUUUUGUAAAUUUGGAUGUAACUGUACAUUUAAUAGGACUCAGGUAUUUACAGACUAAACAACAAGGAUGAGGACACUUUCAGGAUUUUUCAUGUACUCUUUAUGAUUACCUUAGGAUAUUAAAAUUAACUAAAAUAAAUUAAAAGUAAAAUUUCACAGUGAAUAAACCAUAUCUUUGAUUUUUCACUCUUAUUACAGGAAAUUCUGUUAAAUAGUUAACACAGAGUAAUCUUAAAAAAAACUUUAGCUUUUAUUACCCAUUAGUUGAGCUACCCUGUUGGUUAGAAAUGGUCCACAAUGCUGAUUUUGCAUAGAGGUUUAUCAAAUGUCUUUAUUCAAGCAUUGAUUUCAUGUUUCAAACACUACUUCUGUAUUGUAUAGUUUGGCUUUGAGGCCCCUUUAUUUUGACCUGCUUUUAAUUAAACCUGCUACGAUAAUUCUAGCUUUUAUUUUAAUUUUUCUGAGUACCAAAGAAUUUCACUAGGACUUUUCUGAUAUAAACUACACAAACUGGAUUUUACUUGUGCCUGAGAUGUAAUUAAAAACUCAUUUUUACUCAUAUCUGGCCCUGUUUUACUUAUUAAAUGCCUUUUUAAAUCAAUUUUCUUUUAUGAAGCUUCUGCAAAAUAAUUUUAACAGCAACGCAUUUCUCUGUUCCCUGGCAGGUUCUUCAGCAUUUACUACAUUCACAGCAUCUGUUCAUGAUCCAAAUUAUUCACCAAUUUAUUCCUAAUGCUAUUUAAGAUUAGUUGGCUCUAACCCAGUCAGGGUUCUUCACCUCUGGCUCUUUGUUCUACAACUUACUUUCUAUUUUAUUGAACGAAAAUCCCUUAAGUACUGUUCAUUCAUCCUUUUCUUUCAUUUAUUCCUCAUAGGAAUUGAUGUCAGUGAUCCAUUUAAUUCAGUGUCCACAUUGAUAAAAUCCAGUCUAGCUCCUACUGAUGCAAAUUUCCCAUUGACUUCAGUGGGCAAAUCAUUUGUCCCAGGUAGCUGCAUGAAAACUAGAUGUUUCAGAAAAAAUCACAAACCACCAAUAAUGCAUCUGUUAUUGUCUUAGUUUUUGUACCUUAAGAAAAAUUCUUCAUGUCCUCCAGAUGGUGAUCAAUUUAUACUCAAGCAAAAGAAGAAUCCUACAUUGGCAAGAAACCUGUAGGCCUGUUCAUUUCUAUGUGGUAGGCUAGUCACAUGAAUAACAGGUGCAGGAUCAGGCCAUAAGAUCUUUUUAAAGUUAUCUGAGCCAUUGUUUGUUUCCAUCUUCCAUUACAAAAAAAAUGUUAAAAAAAACCCAUACAUGCUGGCUAUCCAGGCACUCAAAAAUUAGUAAAUAAUAGUAAAGUUGCCAUAUCUAAAUAUACCUCUUUCCCUUUGUGUCUAUGUAUUGAAGAUUAAAUAGUUUUGAUUAAAUAGUUUUUCUCAAA